CGGAGAGGGCGCCUGAGAAACGGCUACCACUUCUAAGGAAGGCAGCAGGCGCGCAAAUUACCCAAUCCUGACUCAGGGAGGUAGUGACAAGAAAUAACAAUAAACCGGCUUAUGCCGGUUUAAUUGGAAUGAGUACAAUUUAAACAUCUUAACGAGGAACAAUUGGAGGGCAAGUCUGGUGCCAGCAGCCGCGGUAAUUCCAGCUCCAAUAGCGUAUACUAAAGUUGUUGCAGUUAAAAAGCUCGUAGUUGGAUUUCUGCGGGGACGGAGCGGCCGGUCGCAACUUGCGACUCGAGCUAGCGCUUUCCCCGCAUCCUGCCGCGAACCGUGCUACCAUUAGCUUGGUGGCGCUGGGGAUCGGCUCGAUUACUUUGAGAAAAAUAGAGUGUUCAAAGCAGGCCACACGCCUUGAAUAAGUUAGCAUGGAAUAAUGACUAAGGACUUCGGUUCUAUUUUGUUGGUGUUCGGGACUGAAGUAAUGAUUGAUAGGGACAGUUGGGGCGGUCUGUAUUCCAAAGCGAGAGGUGAAGUUCUUAGACCUUCGGAAGACAAACAGCUGCGAAAGCGUUCCGCAAGGAUGUUCCCUUUGAUCAAGAACGAAAGUUGGGGGAUCGAAGACGAUCAGAUACCGUCGUAGUCUCAACUAUAAACUAUACCAGCUAGGGAUCGGUCAACGUUUAAUCAUUCGACUUGAUCGGCACCUUAUGAGAAAUCAAAGCAUCUGGGUUCCGGGGGGAGUAUGGUCGCAAGGCUGAAACUUAAAGGAAUUGACGGAAGGGCACCACCAGCCGUGGAGCCUGUGGCUUAAUUUGACUCAACACGGGAAAACUUACCAGGUCCAGACAUAGUAAGGAUUGACAGAUUGAUAGCUCUUUCUUGAUUCUGUGGGUGGUGGUGCAUGGCCGUUCUUAGUUGGUGGAGUGAUUUGUCUGGUUAAUUCCGUUAACGAACGAGACCCCAGCCUGCUAAAUAGCGCGGCUGAGCUUUGCUCGGUGCGAGCUUCUUAGAGGGACUAUGAUGCGCGAUAGCACAUGGAAGUUUGGGGCAAUAACAGGUCUGUGAUGCCCUUAGAUGUUCUGGGCCGCACACGGGCUACACUGGCGCCUGCAACGAGCAUAUCAGCUGGCCCGAGAGGGUCUUGGCUAAUCUUUUGAACCGGCGCCGUGCUUGGGAUUGACCAUUGCAAUUGUUGGUCAUGCAACGAGGAAUGCCUUGUAAACGCGAGUCAUCAGCUCGCAUUGAAUACGUCCCUGCCCUUUGUACACACCGCCCGUCGCUCCUACCGAUGAAUGUUCCGAUGAAAUUUUCGGAGAGCGCCAGAGAACGGGGCUCUGCCUUGCAGAUCUGGAGGCUCAAAGUCACUUAGAUCUGAACAUUUCGAGGAAGGAGAAGUCGUAACAAGGUAACC
rnacentral:rRNA from 1 species